GGGCACAUUUAGUUUAGUGGUUAGCACGCUUGCCUCGCACCUCUGUGGUUGGAGGUUCAAAAUCCAUCUGUGCCCU